AUGAGAAGGAGGACGCGACGAAGAUGGGCUAGGCCUCGCUGCUCGUGGAGGAGGGUGCGGCUCGCCGGUGACGACGGAGAAAACAGGGGCGCCGAACCACAGCAGCGGCAGCCGGAGACUGAGAGCACAUCGGCGGCGGACCAGCUCGAGGAGGAGAUUGGCUCGCAGGGCCUCGGGCGCGGCGUGCAGAGGAGGAGGCACGGCGCUAAAGAGGCUGGGGGCGCAGUGAACGCUGUAGCGGUGGACCGGGAGGCCAGGGAGGCCCCAGAUAGUCGAGGUCACCGGCGGGCUGGAUCGCCGGAGCGGCACGGCGUUGUUCCUGGUGGCGGGUCGAGGAGGCGAUGGCAGACGGCGAAGGCUUGGCACGGGAGGUGA
rnacentral:rRNA from 1 species